rnacentral:rRNA from 1 species
UACGAACUGUGCAAACGUUAUUCGGAAUCACUGGGCGUAAAGGGCGCGUAGGCGGCCUGGAUAAGUAGGGGGUGAAAUCCUGUGGCUCAACUGCAGGGCUGCCUCCUAGACUGUCGGGCUUGGAGCACGGUAGAGGCAGAUGGAAUUCCCGGUGUAGCGGUGGAAUGCGUAGAUAUUCGCAAGAACACCAGUGGCGAAGGCGGCUCACUGGCCCGGUACUGACGCUGAGGUGCGAAAGCGUGGGGAGCAAACAGG